CUGACCAGACAAGGGCAUUGUCCCCACUCAGAAAUGCUCCAAAAGAACUAAGGAGAAGGAUUAGAGGAGACAAAAUGUUUUUGCUAAAUUCUUGCACUGAAGCCAGAGUUGCUCAGGAAAUAACAGCUCAGUUUGUUAGCUCUGAUCUCUAAUUCCAUCCCAAAUUCAUAACGUUAUUUUUUUUGUUUGUUUCCAUUGUUCAUUUGUUGUGUGCCUCUUAGGAUGUCCCUUUCCAUCUGGGCCUCAAUGACCUUCCCUGGGAAAUGGGGUACUUGUACUUAACCAUACCCCUGCUUCUAAAGACAAACUGGGAAAAUUAAAUGGAAAUUCUAAAAGAAAGCUUCAUCUUUUAGUUCCUUAGAGAACUAGCAUUACAGUUGAUUACCUAGGUGAUGAUUCAAGCUAUUCAACCCUUGUCAUUCUGAAUGUACUUCUCUUCCAGCUUGCCUUGGAAAGAAAAUCAGCCAGUUAAAGAAAGCAUCAGCUGGAACUCUCUCAGCUCUCAGUGACUGCAGAGUGAACUAUGGCAUUCAGCAUAGAAAAUGUUCUUCCAGUGCUCCAAUAAAUAGCAUUCAGUUUUUAGCCCCAGGGAAUUCAGUGUAGCCCUGGUUACUCCUCACUGCCACAGCCAACACUGCUUCCUUGGGUAGGAGAAAUGAUUUAUGGAGAUGAGCUGAACAACAGCCAAUCAACCACCCCCACAGGCCACCCUUGGACCAUGACAUACAGGGCAUCUGACUGAUAGUCCCACCAAGACUGCCUAUGAUCAUUUUACUCCUGCAGAGAAAGAUGUGCCUAAAAGAGAAGCAGCACCUACCUGGAAGACUCAGGAGACAAAGAGGGAAAGAAAUGAAUCCCCAAGAUUUCCUGGGCUGAGCCUAACAGGAUAUGAGAAGCAGAAACUUCUGGAUUGUGAGAAGAAACAAAGGAAGAAGAGAGAUGCUCUAUAGGAGAAAAAUCACAGACAAUAAGUGGGGAGAGCAAGAAGACAAAGUUUUGUUACUUUAAUUCACCACUCCUAUCCCCAGCCACCAGUGGCCAUCCUGUACUGGAUUCUAAACCCAGGGCCCUAA
rnacentral:lncRNA from 1 species